GAGCAUGGGGAGUGCCGGAGGAAGUCUGGGGAUGAAGAGGGGCAGGAAAACGGAGGCAUGGCCAAUUAGAGGAGGCUCCUCAGAGGCUGCUGGGAUGAGGAGUGACAAAAGACCAGCAGCAGUGGCCAGCUAACCGAGAAGGGGUAAAUGUCCCAUGGAAGUCACUUGGUAUGGUAAUGGCAGAAGAUCUCUGAAUGAAACAAGGUUUAGUGCUCAUUCUUAAGAAGUUUCGUGUAUUGUCCUAGAUAUUGAACAUUGCUGCUGCUCCCAAAACGUUCCUACUAACAAACAUCUUACAUAUGGACUGUUUGAGGUAUUCAGAUCAAAGAGAAUGACUUCUGUUUCGCAGACUGUGAGAGGAGUAAAGAAGAGACCAGGUGCCUUGAGAAAUACAGAAGGGAGAUGAGAAGGAAGGAGGCCUGAGUUUCUCAAACCCUGCACAUUCCCAGAAAUGACUAUUUUCAGGACUGACCCUUCAUUAGUUCUUGGGAAGCAAACUCUGAGUUCUGGAAUAUUCUUCCUGGGAAGAAUGUUUUUGUAUGGCUGAGGCCUUGGGUCGCAUGGCACCAGUUGAACAGGUUGUUAAUGCUAGCAAUGUGAUUUAUGCUGAGUGCCUAAUUCUGCUCUGGAAAACUGGAAUCUGAGUAUCUGACUCCAGUCAUAUAAAUGCUUCAGGUCUGCAGGACUGGCUCCCAAUAAGAACCCUGGACACAAAGGCUCAGGUUAACUUCCUAGACACCAACACUCAGGUGAGCUGUAUGGAAACCAAUGCUCAGGUGAGCUUCCUGGAUGCCAAGGCCCAGGUGGGCUUCCUGGACUCCAAGGCCAGGUGAUGUUCCUGGACACUCAGGCUCAGGUCUUUCCAGUGGAUCGUAGAAGCUGAGGAUGGUCUUGGGACCCCCCCAACACAGAGAGGGAGAAGUCAACUGGUGUAGGAUAACAGCUUAAGGAAGAACAAACAAACAAACAAACAAACAAACAAACAGGAAAAGGCCACUUGUGCAAAUCCUAUGGGAUAACUGUAAAGAGAAAUGAUUUCCACUGUCUGGAAGUUUCAGCCUUUAUUUUCCAAAAUAAAAAAUGGACAAUCUUAUACAAGAGAUAAUUGGGGCAGAAAUAAUUGUAUGUAUUCUUUCCUCCUUUUCUGGUCUAGAUUUGUCUUCAUUUAUCAACUUUAAGUGUUAUUUUAUCAUGUUAUGUUGAAUCCAUUUUUGUUAGCUAUGUGACAUUAUUUUUGUAAAAAGGUUGGGGGUGCAAUCGUUAGUCAAUGUUUCAAAUUAAUAUCUUGCCAAUGGCUCUUGUGACCCAAAUCAAGUAAAUACGACCUAAGAACAUGUCACUUGACUUUGUCAUAUAUGCCCACCACCACAGCAUGCUUCCAAGAAUCCCGAAAAUCCCACUGUCACAGAAAGACAGCAAUGUCGGCUCUCUCCGGUAUCUUAUUUUUCUUUCCAGCUUAAAAGUGAAUUGGGUUUACUACCUACAUGACUGGAUUUACCCACUUCUUAGACCCUGAUUCUGUAGUCACACUUGAACUGUUCUGCUCAGUCUCUUCAUAUCUAAAUAAGGGCAGACAUGUGGAUUCCGGAGUGGGCUGCACUGAUUGACCCACUGCAGGCUGAACGAACUUCUCUGUGGAUCCAUGGCCUCUCUUUGACUGACAGACAAAUAAAGAACAAAUGUACCUCCAGCA